UCACUGUCACCCAUCGCUGAGCUAUCCAGAUCCUUCUGGGGUGGCAGCAGGGUGGGGCCUGAGCGAUGGACCAUCUUCUUCUCCACCCAGCCCCUCCGGCGCAAGAGACACCGGAUCACCGGGUAGCAGCCUUGGAUUGUAAAGAUCUUCUUCUGCUGCAAUGUGAGAGAAGGAUACUUCUUCAAUAAGUAUUGCAUAAGUGCCAGACAUAGGGGAUAUAAAGGUGAACCAGACAGUUAUGGACUCUGCCAUCAGGAAAUUUUUAUAUUCCAUUAGGAGAAAUAAACAGACUAUAAAUAAGUAGAGAAAUAAAUAUGCAUGGUAAUAAUGAUAAUA
rnacentral:lncRNA from 10 species